AAAGAAAAAGGAAAAGAAAAAGGAAAAGGAAAAGGAAAAGGGCAAAAUGAAGAUAUGGAAUCAAGUAAUCCGAUCCUUCUUCCAGUGUCCUCUUCAUCAUUAUUAUUCUCUCUCUAUUCC
rnacentral:ribozyme from 1 species